ACGACACAAGUUUUUAAAACAAAUCCUUAUAUGGAGAUUAUGCAAUACGAAAAAAGAAUAUUACAAAACGGAACUGCCUCUGGCAUCAGUAGACAUAACCGCGCCUGCCACGUGUAUAGCUACUAGUUUCAGUUGACCGUCGAAAUGAGUUCCGGCUUCAUCCUUUUAUUCAUUCUCGCCGCAAUUGGACCAGUCGCCGCUGGCAAUUGCAACACUGCCCCGGAUGUAGACGGAUGUAGCGUUAAAGUAAAUAGAUGGGACCUGCCACCUUUCUUCUGGGAUAUUUUCGAACCUGGCUGCAAUAAACACGACAUCUGCUAUUCCUGUGGAGCUUAUUAUGGAGUGUCGAGAAGGUUAUGCGACGACCAUUUGUACGCAAAUAACAAAAAAAUUAUGUUCCACCAAUACAAAAGUAAGACAUCUAUCAUGGUGUCUGCAGUUUGCCCGAGAGUACUACUUGGUAUGGAUUAAUUUCAAGCAUUCCUAUUAUAAACAAACGUCACCGGGAUGGUGCAGCCAACCCUACGUAGCAGAUUGCAUUAUUUAAGCGUCUCUGAUUGUGUGAUGAAUCAACUAAACGUGAACAUGGUUUGUAUUCGGAACAGACAAUUUAGCUUUGCCAAACAACAAUAAUAUGCUUUAUUGAUCAACUAUUUGACGCGAUACUGAAACAAUCAUAUUACUUAUACUUUACAAUGGACAAAUGCCCAAACUAGCCCAAUAAGGACCAAAGUCGACUUAUACGAGUUCUUACCGUUUUGAUUGGCAACAAAACUGCCAAAUACGGAAUGUGAGGAAUGGUCCAUUUUUAUUACCUGUUGAAACUCGCCAUAAUAUGAGAAUGCUGUAAAUUAUUAAAUUUGGCAGCCAUUUUGUUUUUUUAUUUUACCGACUGUUUUAAAAACUGUAUGCCUUGUUUAAAACAUAUUUUAAUUACUAGCUUAUUAAAUCCUUCAACCAC